GCUCCAACGUGUCCCUUUGUUAAUACCCACAUUGUUUCUUCUUCCUCAAACCAAAAGCCUCCACUCUGGUGGGACUGAUACUCAGUGUCCCUGCUCCAUGCAGCUUUUGCCUCUAUCAGGUGUGGUGACUCAUGGAGUUGUACCUGGUGGUUGGGUUGGAGAACAGUAAAUAGACAGUUGAUGUGAGUUAUGUGCUCUAAGCUACUUUAAAUUGCUCUGGAUCAUUCAGUCAUGCUUUGAUAAUGACAGAUUUGAAGCUGAAGCAAGACAUCCAGAAGUGAAGGGAGGUUGAGGCAGAGUGCAGGAAAAACUAAAGAAAAAAAGUGCCCCUGAACUUACAAAAAAAGUAGGUUGGUUUAGCACUGGGUUAGCAGAGUUCAACCCUCAGGGGAGCUGGUGGAGGAUAAACUUCUUUUCACAGCCCCAAAACUUCACAUUCUUUAAAAAGAGAUGCAGACAACAGGGUGUAAAGCUUCUCUCCCAGUCUCCAGCACUGUCAAGCCCGAAGGUUUUACAGACUGAGGUAUGUCUGUGAAUACUUUUAUUUCAUCUUUCUGCCAAAUUCUUGCUGACACAGACUUUAGAGUAGGCAGACUUGUCUAGUUCAACCAGCAGAAUCCCAGGGAGGACGCAGUGAAAUCAGCAGCACACAGUGGAACUAGAAGUGCGAGUUCUCUGAACAUAAACAUGUUCAUGAGCACUGGAAAUGGGAAUAACCCUGCCUUUGUUGGCUGAAGUGGAGCUGGGUUGUAAAUAAUCUCCAACUUAGGAUACAGAAAAGCCACUCUAAUGCUUGUCUUAAACAUGGGAAACAUGGCAUUAUUUCAGGUUAAAGUGUAUACAGCUUUUGUUUCAAAGUAGAAGUGUCUAAUUAAAAACUAGCAAGUUGGAAAACUUUUAAAUACUUAAUGUGACAGUUGAACAACUUUUACUUUCUUCUGAGGAAGAAUCUUACUGAGUGAUGUUGAGCUAGUUGAAUUCUUGGCAGUCAGGACUUAUUAAAAAAUCUAUUUGAGUAGUGAAUGGAGAGGGAAUUGCAGAGUGAAGAUCACUUCAUACAUAAGGCUGAGAUGAAUGUUUCUGGGGUGGAUGGUGUAUAAGACCUUUGUUUACAGUUAAGCACUGGUUUACAGUAAGUUUGUCUGUAAGAUAUUAAUUUGAGUGGCACUGAUGUGAAGUAUUCAUUUGAUAUUAGAUUUCCUGUUAUCUCCUUUGUGAAGGUCUGUUCAUAUGGACACUAAUACUCUGUAUUAUCCCAAAUAAUUAGGCCUCUGAGAUCCUGCACAUGUAAAACUUAGCAUUUUAAUUGGUCCUGGAAUUAUAAAAUUAUAAACACCACUGCAUAUUGUUUUUAGAAGACUUUCAUGUUUUUAGAUAACCAUCAAUUUUUUUGUCUGAUGCUUUUUGGGUUACUUAGGUACAGAUGAGUGUAGCACUCACCUUAACCCCUGGCAGU
rnacentral:lncRNA from 1 species